CGGUGGUAGUGACUCGCUAUUGCAUCCUUGAUGUGUCAUCGAGGAUAAAGUAAAGGAAAAUAAUGAUAUUACUUUACUAUUAGUGUCGUCCAAAUACUCGUGCCAGAAGACUCGGUAAGGCGAGAGACGCAAACGUUAUUCACCCUGAUCAGGCGUAAAGGGUUUGUAGGCUGCUUUAAGAAUUUGGUAAUAAAUUAUAAUUUAUUACUUAGAUCAAUUAAAGCUAGAAUCUAAUAGAGGUUAAAACAAUACUUAAGGUAGGAGUACUAACCAUAAAUAUUAAGCAGAGUUUUAAUGGCGAAGGCAUUUAUCCACUAAAGAUUGACGCUGAGAAACGAAGGUGAGGGCAGAAAAAAGGAUUAGAGACCCUUGUAUUCCUCACUGUCAACGAUGAAUGGUAGUUACUAGUUAGAAAUAAACUAGAGGCGAUGUUAACACGAAAACCAUUCCGCCUUGUGAGUACGACUGCAAAGUUGAAAACAAAAAAAUUAGUCGGUUUCGGAGCAAACGAAGUGAAGCAUGUUAUUUAAUGAA
rnacentral:rRNA from 1 species